rnacentral:tRNA from 1 species
GGCCCUGUAGCUCAGGUGGAUAGAGCAAGUGAUUCCUAAUCACUGUGCCCGGUGUUCGAGUCACCGCAGGGCCACCA